rnacentral:tRNA from 1 species
GAGGGUAUAGCUCAGUUGCAGAGCAUGUGCUUAGCAUGCACGAGGUCCUGGGUUCAAUCCCAGUGCCUCUA